rnacentral:ncRNA from 1 species
GUAGGUGGCUGGCGAUGCCGCCACCUGCCAUUCUCCUCUUGUCGUUGUUGCUCCGGGGCCAUAUAGCCCCGGUUUUUUUUG